AGAGGAGUAUUAUUCUCUUACUCUACUCAGUGAAGCAUAAUAGACUAAUCACAGGUUGAAACAUUUUGAGUGCCUUUGUUCUAAUUCUAAGAGAGAUACUUCAGGGAAUACUAGAUACUGUCUUAAAGUAAUGCAACCAAUUAUAAUAACUAGAAAACACAAUUUUUAUUUUUAUUGUCAUAUGAAUGGAAAAUAUUCUUUUAGAUGAGUUCUUUCCUGAGAUGAGUCACUGGAGAUCUAUUUUUUUCAAAGGAGAUACAUGUAUGUAUGAAGAACUAAGUUCAUAACACUGGUAAAGUUCAAUUGAAAUCCAUCAAUGUUUUCUAGAUAAAGUAAUUUAUACCAAAGGCAUAUCUAUGUGCCUAUUAUAGGUCAUGUAUAUGAUACAUAUAUAAUUUUUAACAACCCAGAGAAACCAGAGAUCCAAUUCUUUUUCUAAAUUUCUUUAAAGUUAGACAUUAUCUGACAAAUAAAAAUACCACCUUAUGCAAAUUAAUAGUUGUUAAUGAGAAAAUCAAAAUAACUUCUAAAACAAUAUAGAAAACACUGAAGUUUGAUUUCUUAAUGAGUUUUUAAUUACUCAUUCCAUUCAACUGAUAAAUACUUGCAGUUUAACAAGGGACACAAACAUAGAAUAAUAUUCAUGAAUACUAGUGUGGCCUCCAAAACAAGAUAAAAUGGUUUCAUCUGAUUAAAAAAUUGGCAUUAUUAGUUUUUUACUAAUAAUUUCUUCAGUUUACAAAGGAGAAUUAGCUAUGAGUAUCUAUAAAUAGUAGGUUCUCAGAAGGCAUUUGAAGUGGGUAUUAAAACAGGCUCCAACCAGGGCCUUUGCCUUGAGCACACUAGAUUUAUGUGGCAAAUAUAACAGAUAAUAUGCAAAUCAUGUAACUCUUGGUUAUAACAUUGAAUAACAGUUUAACCUAAGUAUUCCAAAUAGUCUCAACAUUAGUAUAACAAUGGUCUCUUCCUUAGUAUGUCUAUGUCGUGUCUUUUCUGUGAAUGCAUAUGUAUUAUAAUAGACACUACUGGUAUUCAGUUCUUCAAGUAUUGAUACACCCACACACUCAUUCUCUUUGCACUAUCCAGGCCAAAGUUUUCUUCCUUAAAAGGAUCUAAUUACGCUAAUUCCUCAUUGAAAAUAUUCACUGACUUCCAGUCACUUAUUAUAGUGAUUCUCAACUAUAGCUGCACUUUAGAAUCUCCAAGUAAGCUUUUCAAAAGCACCUUUAACUUUAUUUGGUCUACUUUUCUUAUUAAUGCCAGCACAUAGUAGUAGGAGUCUGAAAUGGUGUUAAAGCAUCAAUUCUUACAACUUGCUUCUCUCUGUCCAACACUGUCAUAUAUUCAUCUUAUGUUCCAGUCAUGUAAAUCAAUUUUCUACCCAAAUUUUCACCUUUGGAUACCAGUCCCAUUUAUAUCUCAACCUUUAACACUCAGCCAAACAUCAUUUCUAUGCCUUCCCUGCAUCGUCCAGGCAAUUAUUUGCUUCCCCUAAGGUUCACCAUGCCUUUUGUGCACAUUUGAAUUGCAAUAGUGUGUUGUUCUAUAAUUCCAACUCUCCUACAAGUCUGGGAGCCACCUGAGGUGGGUCAAUAGCAUUUCUUGAACUGAAAGUUCAAUGAUUUGUUCUAUAUUUUUGGUAUUACUGUGGAUCUCUCUCAUUCUUUUGUUACAUCACUCCAUGUCUCUGCACACAUGACUUUAUCACCUUAUCUUUCCAUGGUCCCUCUCUCUAUCUCUUCAUUUCUCUUUACCUUUUUUUAAUUUUCCACAUUUUCUUCCUACUUUGUGAGAUAUCUCCUUGUACUGAUUAUACCAUAGGGGAAUGUAAGUACAUUUUAUAUUUAUUAAGAACACCUAAUGCUCCUUGUUCUAAAUGUUUAAAUUGAAUGAAUGGAAUAUCAUUUUCCUCCCUAAGGAAAAUUCAGAGAAUAAAAUUGUUUCUUUAUAGGUAAGUAGCCCUAAAUUGUUUGUAUUAUAAAACUCAGUAUAUAAGUUUUUCUGAUUUCUGAUUUCAUUCAACAAGUAUUUAUUGAGUACCUGCUAUUAUUGCCAAAAAAAAGUGCUAGUAAGCAUUAUUCUUCUAUGUUAUUGUUCCUUGUAUCUCAAGAAAGUUACAGUCCGAUAGUAAGUUUAAGUCGCAGUGCCUUAAAUAGGAGACACUCAAAUUUUUGUUGAAUGUACAAAUGAAAAAUACAAUGUGAUUUUUGAUAGUUCAAAGGAUUGUUUAUGUAUAACUUUACUGAGGCAAAUGCAGCACAACAUAAGAUACUAAUUUUAAAAUAAAUAUCAAAUAAUUCCUUAGUUUAGUCAUAUCAGAAUUCAUUUGCAUUAAAUCUGUGUGUAUAUUUGUUGAAAAGCUUUCAAUGUCUUUUUCCCAAAAAUUUCAUCCCAAUAAAUGCAUUUUUUAAUUUCAUAUAUAAUAAAGAAAACCUACCAAUGUGGGAAUGAUAUCUCCCAGAAUGAAUUGUGUGACAUAGGUAAAUGAAUGUAGGUGUGUCCAAAAAUAAAAACAAU